rnacentral:rRNA from 1 species
AGUGAACGCUGGCGGUAGGCCUAACACAUGCAAGUCGAACGGCAGCACAGUAAGAGCUUGCUCUUACGGGUGGCGAGUGGCGGACGGGUGAGGAAUACAUCGGAAUCUACUUUUUCGUGGGGGAUAACGUAGGGAAACUUACGCUAAUACCUCAUACGACCUACGGGUGAAAGCAGGGGAUCUUCGGACCUUGCGCGAUUGAAUGAGCCGAUGUCGGAUUAGCUAGUUGGCGGGGUAAAGGCCCACCAAGGCGACGAUCCGUAGCUGGUCUGAGAGGAUGAUCAGCCACACUGGAACUGAGACACGGUCCAGACUCCUACGGGAGGCAGCAGUGGGGAAUAUUGGACAAUGGGCGAAAGCCUGAUCCAGCCAUACCGCGUGGGUGAAGAAGGCCUUCGGGUUGUAAAGCCCUGUUGUUGGGAAAGAAAAGCAGCAGGUUAAUACCCCGAUGUUCUGACGGUACCCAAAGAAUAAGCACCGGCUAACUUCGUG